rnacentral:rRNA from 1 species
AACGAACGCUGGCGGCAUGCCUAACACAUGCAAGUCGAACGAGACCUUCGGGUCUAGUGGCGCACGGGUGCGUAACGCGUGGGAACCUGCCCUUAGGUUCGGAAUAACUCCCCGAAAGGGGUGCUAAUACCGGAUAAUGUCUUCGGACCAAAGAUUUAUCGCCUUUGGAUGGGCCCGCGUUGGAUUAGCUAGUUGGUAGGGUAAAAGCCUACCAAGGCGACGAUCCAUAGCUGGUCUGAGAGGAUGAUCAGCCACACUGGGACUGAGACACGGCCCAGACUCCGACGGGAGGCAGCAGUGGGGAAUAUUGGACAAUGGGCGAAAGCCUGAUCCAGCAAUGCCGCGUGAGUGAUGAAGGCCUUAGGUUGUAAAGCUCUUUUACCCGGGAUGAUAAUGACAGUACCGGGAGAAUAAGCUCCGGCUAACUCCGUG